ensembl:lncRNA
CUGGGGCUCUAUUGGGCCGGCUAGGCCCUGCUCGCUCCUGCACUGCACGCCUCACUGCCCUGCUAUAGCACCGCAUAUGGUUCACACACACACACACACACACACACACACACACACACACACACACACACACACACACACACACACACACACACACACACACACACACACACACACACACACACACACACACACACACACACAACCUCUCACUCUAACACACAUACAUUGUGGAGAUCAGACACCAAAAUAACUGAAUGUACAGAGUGCACACAGAGUCAGAAAGUGAGACAAAGGACUUGUUCUGUUACUCAACUUCACUGUUACUGCCUCAGCGCCAAGUCCAACGGCUAAAGAACUGGGUUAUUUGGGGUCAUAGGUAAUAUAGAAAUCAAACAAAUGCUAACAAAGAUUAUGAAACCUCUAUGAAACCUAUGAUGUACUGAAAUGUAAUUCCACUGUUAACUCUUUUUAUAAUGGCCACAGCAGCUCUCACUGGUUUAUUCAGACUUUGUCCCCUAGGUUUCUGUCAGGUCAGGAAACCCUCUCUAACAGGUAUGAGCAACACACCCUGCAGCGCUGCGCUCAUGCCUCAGGAAUGAACUACUGACACCAAAAAGGAGGUGACGUCCUGUUUUCAGAUACGCAGAGCAGUUCAACAAUCAGGUGACGGUGGAAGAUGUUGAGACGCCAGGAUUACUGAAGAACUGGCCAAGCCCUGUUGGCCAUGUUUUACUUUAUAAUGCUUUUGGGUCAUUCUCACUCUCCCUUUCCUACCUAUAAAGCCUAGCUAGUUAGCAAGCAAUACAAGCAAUAACAGAUUAUGUGUUUUAGUGUUGUCAUUGUUUCCAAUUCUGAGUGGAGCAUAUGUAGGCCUAAUUUGAUUUACCAACCGUGGCCCCAGCUCUUCAUUACUUAUCCAUUUACCUUAUAACCCUUCAUCCUCUCCUUUCAUUUGGUCUGAAAGGAAAUACGGUUUCAAUUGGCAUAAAAUAAAAUAAUGACUGUGUUUUUGUGGACUAUAUCAAAGCUAAAUACACACCUUGUCAAGUGAACAGUUCUUUCCCAGUCAAAUUAAUCUCCUGGCAGGAUUGGAGAGCUAGUGAUAGGCCCACCACUCACAGGCAACAUGCUCCCACCACUCACAGGCAACAUGCUCCCACCACUCACAGGCAACAUGCCCCUACCAUUCACACGCAACAUGCCCCUACCACUCACAGGCAACAUACUCCCACCACUCACAGGCAACAUGCCCCUACCACUCACAGGCAACAUACUCCCACCACUCACAGGCAACAUACUCCCACCACUCACAGGCAACAUGCCCCUACCAUUCACACGCAACAUGCCCCUACCACUCACAGGCAACAUACUCCCACCACUCACAGGCAACAUGCUCCCACCACUCACAGGCAACAUGCUCCCACCACUCACAGGCAACAUGUUCCUACCACUCACAGGCAACAUGCUCCUUCCACUCACAGGCAACAUGCCCCUACCACUCACAGGCAACAUGCUCCUUCCACUCACAGGCAACAUGCUCCCACCACUCACAGGCAACAUGCUCCCACCACUCACAGGCAACAUGCUCCCACC